GACAGAGGGGGCAAGCGUUGUCCGGAAUUACUGGGCGUAAAGGGCUCGUAGGUGGCCAACUAAGUCAGACGUGAAAUCCCUCGGCUUAACCGGGGAACUGCGUCUGAUACUGGAUGGCUUGAGUUUGGGAGAGGGAUGCGGAAUUCCAGGUGUAGCGGUGAAAUGCGUAGAUAUCUGGAGGAACACCGGUGGCGAAGGCGGCAUCCUGGACCAACACUGACACUGAGGAGCGAAAGCCAGGGGAGCAAACGGG
rnacentral:rRNA from 1 species